UUCUCCACCUGUUAAAGAGCCUCAGACGCACCUUGCAUUUCAUUUCUGUGACAGAUGAUUGUGUAUGGUGUUGUGUGCGUCCUUAUGAGAUGUUCUGAUCAUGUGACUGGCUGUUGAAGCGAGCUAAUACAAUAUCAGGACUGAAACACAGAUGCCCUGCCAGCUGCAACCCAGUACUGGGAAACACCUGGAAGAAACCCACACCAACAUGGGGAGAACAUGCAAACUCCACACAGAAACACCAACUGACCCAGCCGAGGCUCGAAUCAGCGACUUUCUUGCUGUGAGGUGAUUGUGCUACCCACUGCGCCACCGUGACGCCCCAGGUCACUAAUGUUUUAUAUUGUGUUUAUGUUAGAUCUUAGAUCAAGGGUUUCCAAACUACAGCCUGUGGACCACCGACGACCCGCAAUCAGUCUUGUGGCGGCCCGUGAGGCUUUUUAUAAAUGUUAAUAGAAUCUGGCCCGCUGUACAAAACUGAACGUAAUUCAAUAAAUAACCACCAGGUGUCGCUAUUGCAUGCCUUCAAUUAGGCAGCAGGUCCUGUUAUGACAUAAAACGAACCAACUAAACUGAAGGAAACAUAAUUGAUAACCAUGCUUAGGUGAGCCAUGCGCAACCAAGAUAAAGGAAAGUCAACCGUGAAUGCAGGAAAUUUCAGUCAGGCUGAGGCUGAGAAUAUUUCUUCACAGAGCUCAUGUCUGUUUAAUAUGUCAGGAAUCAGUUUCAUUAAUGAAGCAAUAUAAUAUUAAUAGACGUUAUGAAACAAAACAUCAGGCCUU